GAUGAACGCUAGCGGCAGGCUUAACACAUGCAAGUCGAGGGGCAGCGCGGGUAGCAAUACCUGGCGGCGACCGGCAAAACGGGUGCGGAACACGUACGCAAUCUGCCCUUACCCGGAGCAUAGCCCGAAGAAAUUCGGAUUAACUCUCCAUAAGAUAGUAAAAUGGCAUCAUUUAGCUAUUAAAAAUUUAUUGGGUAAGGAUGAGCGUGCGUCCCAUUAGCUAGUUGGUAGGGUAACGGCCUACCAAGGCGACGAUGGGUAGCUGGUGUGAGAGCACGACCAGCCACACGGGCACUGAGACACGGGCCCGACUCCUACGGGAGGCAGCAGUGAGGAAUAUUGGUCAAUGGACGCAAGCCUGAACCAGCCAUGCCGCGUGAAGGAUGACGGCCCUAUGGGUUGUAAACUUCUUUUGUACGGGAAAAAACCACCGGUCGUGUAUCGGUGCUGAUGGUACCGUAAGAAUAAGCAUCGGCUAACUCCGUG
rnacentral:rRNA from 1 species